rnacentral:tRNA from 1 species
GUCCUCGUAGUUCAACGGAUAGAAUCGCGCCGUCCUAAGGCGUUGAUGUAGGUUCAAUUCCUACCGAGGACACAA